rnacentral:rRNA from 1 species
GACAGGAGGAAGUGGAUUCCCGUGUGCGGUGAAUGGGUAGAUAUCGAGGAACCCCAGUGCGAAGCGCCACUGGCUAAUACUGACACUGAGAUGCGAAAGCGUGGGAGCAAACAGGAUUAGAUACCCUGGUAGUCCACGCCGUAAACGAUGUCGACUAGCCGUUGGGAUCCUUGAGAUCUUAGUGGCGCAGUUAACACAUUAAGUGUACCGCCUGGGGAGUACGGUCGCAAGAUUAAAACUCAAAGGAAUAGACGGGGACCCGCACAAGCGGUGGAGCAUGUGGUUUAAUUCGACGAUACACGAAGAACCUUACCUGGACUUGACAUAGUAAGAACUUUCUAGAGAUAGAUUGGUGUCUGCUUGCAGAAACUUAUAUACAGGUGCUGCACGGCUGUCGUCAGCUCGUGUCGUGAGAUGUUGGGUUAAGUCCCGCAACGAGCGCAACCCUCGUCAUUAGUUGCUAACAGUUCGGCUGAGAACUCUAAUGAGACUGCCUACGCAAGUAGGAGGAAGGUGAGGACGACGUCAAGUCAUCAUGGCCCUUACGUCCAGGGCUACACACGUGCUACAGUGGGGUAUACAAAGAGCAGCAAUACGGUGACGUGGAGCAAAUCUCAAAAAUAUCUCCCAGUUCGGAUUGUAGUCUGCAACUCGACUACAUGAAGUUGGAAUCGCUAGUAAUCGUAGAUCAGCUAUGCUACGGUGAAUACGUUCCCGGGUCUUGUACUCACCGCCCGUCACACCAUGGGAGUUGAACUCAUUCGAAGCGGGGAUGCUAAAGUAGCUACCUUCCACAGUGGAUUCAGCGACUGGGGUGAAGUCGUAACAAGGUAACC